rnacentral:rRNA from 1 species
ACAUUGGGACUGAGAUACGGCCCAGACUCCUACGGGAGGCAGCAGUAGGGAAUUUUGCGCAAUGGACGAAAGUCUGACGCAGCAAUGCCGCGUGAGUGAUGAAGGCCUUCGGGUCGUAAAGCUCUGUUGAGUGGGAAGAAACGUCCGGCGGUUAAUACCCGUCGAGCCUGACGGUACCACUCGAGGAAGCCCCGGCUAACUACGUGCCAGCAGCCGCGGUAAUACGUAGGGGGCAAGCGUUGUUCGGAAUUACUGGGCGUAAAGGGAGCGUAGGUGGGAAAGUGAGUUAGGAGUGUAAUACGCAGGCUUAAACCUGCGGCUCGCUUCUAAUACUGCUUUUCUUGAGUAUGGGAGAGGGAGACGGAAUUCCAGGUGUAGCGGUGGAAUGCGUAGAUAUCUGGAAGAACAUCAGUUGCGAAGGCGGUCUCCUGGCCCAAUACUGACACUGAGGCUCGAAAGCUAGGGGAGCAAACAGGAUUAGAUACCCUGGUAGUCCUAGCCGUAAACGAUGGACACUAGAUGUUGGGGGAGUUAUUCCUUCAGUGUCGUAGCUAACGCGUUAAGUGUCCCGCCUGGGGAGUACGCUCGCAAGGGUGAAACUCAAAGGAAUUGACGGGGGCCCGCACAAGCGGUGGAGCAUGUGCUUUAAUUCGAUGCAACGCGAAGAACCUUACCUGGGCUUGACAUGGGAGUGAAAUCCCGUAGAGAUACGGGACUUUCCUUCGGGAACACUCCACACAGGUGCUGCAUGGUUGUCGUCAGCUCGUGUCGUGAGAUGUUGGGUUAAGUCCCGCAACGAGCGCAACCCUCGCCCUUAGUUGCCAGCGGGUAAUGCCGGGAACUCUAGGGGGACUGUCUGGUACAACCAGGAGGAAGGUGGGGAUGACGUCAAAUCAUCAUGGCCCUUACGCCCAGGGCUAGACACGUGCUACAAUGGCUGGUACAACGGGCUGCAAGCUCGCGAGAGCAAGCCAAUCCCUAAAAACCAGCCUCAGUUCAGAUUGGAGUCUGCAAUUCGACUUCAUGAAGGUGGAAUCGCUAGUAAUCGCGGAUCAGCAUGCCGCGGUGAAUACGUUCCCGGGCCUUGUACACACCGCCCGUCAAGCCACGAAAGAUGGUAGUACCCNGAAGUCGCUACUCUAACCCGCAAGGGAGGAGGGCGCCGAAGGUA